rnacentral:rRNA from 1 species
GAUGAACGAUGGCGGAGGGAAGAACAAAGGACAGUCGAGACACCAGACGAGGAGCUUGGUAGAGUCAAGUUAGCGGCGGACGGGUGAGUAACACGUGGAUAACCUACUUAUAAUACUGGGAUAACUUCUGUAAACCGGAGCUAAUACUUGCUAAUAUAUUGAACCGCAUGGUUCAAUAGUUAAAGACGGUUUUGCUGUCACUUAUAGAUGGACCCGCGCCGCAUUAGCUAGUUGGUAAGGUAACAGCUCACAAAGGCAAAGAUGCGUCGCCGACCUGAGAGGGGCCCGGGCAAGUGUGGACCUGAAAAACGGUCCAGCCCCCUACGGGAGGCAGCAGUAGGGAAUUUUCCGCAAUGGGCGAAAGCCUGACGGAGCAACGUCGCGUGAGUGAUGAAGGUCUUCGGAUCGUACCCCUCGUUUGUGCGGAAAGAAAAAAUGUGUGUGUAACUAGUCACGUCUUGACGGUACCUAAUAAGAAAGCCCAGGCACACUAGUU